rnacentral:lncRNA from 1 species
UGGGAAUCACAUUUGAAAGAAUGGGAACAUGAUGAGGGUUCCUGGUACCUGAUAGAUCUUUCAGGUUCUGCAGUAGCAUUUUUACUCUGAGGCAGAUCCUUUUGGUUUUUGUGUGACUUUGGCAUGAAUGUCUGCUUUUAUGAGGAGGUUGUGCUUUGUGUUAUUUAGGCUUUACUUGUCCAGCGUGGUUGCAAUCUUCAAUUUCUGGCCGAGCUUGAAGUUUUGUUUCGAAUUUUUAUCGGCUUAGUUAAGUCCGGUCUGCUGCUAUUGUGUGUCUUUAGUGGGUAUUGGAUGUUUUGUUUUUCGCUUUCUUGUUGCUAGUAGCAAGUGUUGGCCUUUUUGUGAGACUAGAAUGUAUGUCUUAGGUGUUGUUUUUUCUUGUGGGAGGCCAUGUUGUUCUAGUUUUAGUAGGUAGUUUAAUUCCUCUCUUUUCCUUAUUGGACUUCUCUAUUGUAAUCUCUUUUCCUUAAUAGGAACUGGUUCAUGAAAGAUAUUAAAACUUGCAUCUUGUUCUUACACUAGUUUUCUUAUAAGUUUAACAUUGGAUUAUACAUCACUGUACUUU